UUACGGCCAUAUCACGUCGAAACGCCGGUUCUUAUACAAUCACCGAAGUUAAGCAACGUCGAGCCUGGUCAGUACCUAGAUGGGUGUCUGCUUGGGAAUACCUGGCGCUGUAAG